AUCGCUUCUCGGCCUCUUUGGCUAAGAUCAUGUGUAGUAUCUGUUCUUGUCAGCUUAAUAUCUGAUAUGUGGGUCACAGACCCACACAUUUAUUAAACUGAUUUUUAGAGAAUCAGUUGGUAAAGAAGCUUGCUUCAGCCAACUUGUAGAUCUUCUCAGUAUUGCAGUAUUUCUGAGUUAGGUCUUUUACUU
rnacentral:snRNA from 1 species